ACGAAAAUUGAAUCGUAACACCUUAGCAACCCUACAAGGUGGGUGGUGCUAUCCGAAAUCCUUGAAUUUCUUUUUAUGUCUAAAUGUCACUUCUUGAGCAUAUAUGAAUAUAUAGAAUCAUGCAUUGUAGGGUUGAUUUGAGCUUACACUACAGGAAAUUAGUUAAAAGACGGCAUUUAUUUAGCGGCUUUUUGAUAUGGGCCGGCCCAAGAUUAUAGCCCAAAUUAUAUAUUACUUUCCUGGGCCUAGACCAUAAUUAAUUAUCCAUCUCUCUCUCUUCCUCUCUCUCUCUGUCUCUGUCUCUCUCUCUCUUUCUCUCUCUCUAGGCCCAUAAUUGCCCAUCUAGAUCUCUCUCUCUCUCUCCCCCUUCCUCUCCUACGCACAGACUAAAGAAGGGUUUUUAUCUCCAACUCCAUCGCUCUCUUUCCCACUCCAUCUCCCCAGACCUCAUCUAGGGUUUCCUCUUCUCUACCCUUUUCUAGGGUUCCGAACUCAUCCGCAUCCUCUAGACCUCGCACAAGAUCGCCGCAUUGGGAGACCUCAUUCACCUUCGUGAUCCCUUUUGACCUCGCACACGAUCACUGCAUUGGAAGGAAUCGUUCGUCAACCUUCGUAAUCCAUAGUUGCCAUAGAUGCUUUGUUUAUUACAGGGUUGAAUUGAGCAAUGCAGUAGAAUUCGAUGUAAUUAGGAUUUGUAUUUUAAGGUAUGAUGAUAGAGAUUUUUUCUUUUUGGUUUUUUUGCAAGCUAAUGCAUUUAAUCAUUGGAUCUUGCUAGAUAUAGACAAUGUCGCCUUUUGGAAUUUGAUGCUGCAUUUAUAUGAAUUUUAAACUAUCUAGCUGCUAUUUUAAGUUUCUCCAUCUAUUGAACCUUCUAAGGUUUUAUCAUUUGGUAAAUCCAGUUGAUAAAUUUGCAUUUUAGGGUUUUGCAUGCAAGAAUUAACUUAGGAAAUCUUUAAUUUUAGGUUUCUUUUCUCAAUUCUGGUGCCUCUUUUAAGUGUUUGUUUUGGAAUUAGGUCAUGCACCAAUGUUAUGCUCGUAUUUCUCCAAAAUUGGCAUUUAAAAUAGUUAUCGGGCAUCCUAUGUUCCAGAUCUAGAGUAUAAUUGGAAGCUGUAAUUUAUCAAAUUUAACUAUUUGUUCUCAAUUUAGAGCAAGGGUUUACUGCUCAAAGCCAGAAGUUCAAUAUGUUUAAUUCAUCAGAGUUAUGCUUCGGUGAUUGUGGCUAAUUUGAUGGGUUUACUAAUCUUCAUCUAACUUGUGCAUGGCUUUAGCUCACUCUCCUCAUUUAUGUUUCUUUUUAGUUAUAAAUAUUAAGUAAAAAAAAGGUUAAAAUUGAUAAUUAAGCUGAUUGCUUCAUAAUUUACCCUUCUUUGGAUCAUCGUGCCUCCCGUGGAUUUUGUUUUGCUCAUCUAUUGAUGUGUGUAAUUUGUGCUUCUUGUUUUCGCUUUAUGGAUCUUUUCAAUUUAUAUCCAUUUAGCUUUUGCAAAUGUGUUAGUAGUUUGUUGUCAAGUAAUAAACAACUUGACAAAAACAUUCAGUGGUCCCUCAUGAACUUGAAUAAUUAGACUAAUUUUCAAAUAGUAGGUUCAUUUGCCCAUUCUCUUUCAAUUGUACGUAAUAUAAAAUCUUACUUCGCGGCUAUCAAUUGCCAAAUAGUUGAAGCAGUUGAUGUCAUUCAUAUCGAAUUAUAAUAGUUAAUCUAAGCAUUUAGUGUAAAUUCGGCAAAACAGCUUUAAAUGCCAAUUUUUAUGGUAUAUUAUGUCUUGUUGUAAGUAUAAGGAUCAAUGAUAUCUUAUAGAGUUUUUAUCAUUGUAACACACUGGACCUUUACAAAUGGUGAGGUUCCAGCGUUUGAUGAGUGUUCUGAGUUUUUCCAGAUAUUCUGGAGGGUCGUUGACAGUGUUCCGACCUAUGGCUCGUAUCUCGAGAUUUAUGAUAUUUUAAGUAGCGUUAAGGCCACCAAAGAGGAGGACUUAGGCUGCUCUCGAGUUGCCUCCGCAGGGCUGUCUACCGGUACAGCCUUGAUGGUUGUACCGAUACAGAAAGUGUACCGGUACAUCUUGAUGGUUGUACCGGUACAGAUGUGGUGAAUUGCUAACUCGAGGCUCGGGUUAGCUGUUUCGCAGGAUUUGUACCGGUACACUUUCCCGUGUACCGGUACACUUUGCCAGACUGCGAACAGGCUGUGUUUGAGGGGUGUUUUUGCAUUUGUGCUUUCCUAUAUUAGCACCCACGCCCCUAGGGCUCUCUCUGAGCCUUGCACCAGCAGAGAAAGAGGUAAGGGGGUCCUCCACACCUCCCCUUUUGAUUUCUUUGCUUUCACUUGAGUUUUGAGAGAUUAAACAUCUCUUUUUGGUCUUCUUUUGCAUCUUGGGGGCUUUUCCACCAUAGGAGAAGACUUGGAGCUUGGUUGGAGGAUUGUUGGAGGAGAGAUCUUCAACCCUAACUCAUUCCAAGCCUUGUUUGGAGCUUCUUGUGAGGUUGCUUUGAAAGGGAUUUAACUCUCUUUUGAGUUUUAAAAGGGAAUUUCUACACUAUAGGGUACUAGGAGAGUGGUGGACACCUUCGUCGGGGCAAACGAAGGGUUUCGUGAAGUCACGGUGGGUUUGGCUUCAUUGGAAUAGGAGAAAACUUCCCCUAAGUGGUUGAAUGUCUUCGUUUCAUCGCAUGGCAUGCAUAUUCAUGCUAGAUAGAAUUUAUAUGAAUUUUAAAAUACUUAAAAUGUAUGUGUUAUGUAUUAUG